UGGAUAAGAUGGUUGCAGCAAUGCGAGCUUUCAGGGGGUUGUAUAAGACAAUUUUCUUGAAUAGGAAAGCCUUUGCAUUGCUUACCUCUCAAGGGUUUAAAGGGAAGGAACUAACAGAAGCCCUGUGGAAGGUUCAUAGAGAUGAUUUUAUAAUGGGUAGAGGAUCUGCCUUACCUGACUGUUUUUGUGAAUUCAAUGUAUGAACUUAUGUUUUCCUCUUCAGUUUAUUCGUUACUUGAUGUUUUGGUUAUAGCCGGAGCAAUUUAUUCGAAAAGAUGUCUCG
rnacentral:misc_RNA from 1 species